rnacentral:rRNA from 1 species
GAUGAACGCUGGCGGCGUGCCUAAUACAUGCAAGUCGAGCGAACAGACGAGGAGCUUGCUCCUCUGACGUUAGCGGCGGACGGGUGAGUAACACGUGGAUAACCUACCUAUAAGACUGGGAUAACUUCGGGAAACCGGAGCUAAUACCGGAUAAUAUAUUGAACCGCAUGGUUCAAUAGUGAAAGACGGUUUUGCUGUCACUUAUAGAUGGAUCCGCGCCGCAUUAGCUAGUUGGUAAGGUAACGGCUUACCAAGGCAACGAUGCGUAGCCGACCUGAGAGGGUGAUCGGCCACACGGGAACUGCGACACGGUCCAGACUCCUGCGGGAGGCAGCAGUAGGGAAUCUUCCGCAAUGGGCGAAAGCCUGACGGAGCAACGCCGCGUGAGUGAUGAAGGUCUUCGGAUCGUAAAACUCUGUUAUUAGGGAAGAACAAAUGUGUAAGUAACUAUGCACGUCUUGACGGUACCUAAUCAGAAAGCCACGGCUAACUACGUG